CCGUAGAUCAAUAUUUGAGAGAUCUUACCUUCGUUUGUGCCUUUCGGAGCUCUACCAAUUCAGAGAUUAGAUUUGAAGAGAUCUUAUCUCCAUUUAUGCCCUUCAAGGCUCUACCAAUCUGGAGAUUAAAUUUUUAUAGAUCGAAAGAUAAUGUGCAAGAAUAAACUCAUUGAAGUAUUUUUUAUUGAUAAUACUUUUGAAGAUUUCUAAAAAUUUAGAUACAAAGAGAUCGGUAUUUUGUAGGAUAACCUUAAUUCUAAGGUCGGUGUAACUUCAACCUAGAGGUCGGUAUUUUAUAGAGUUAAAAAGAUAAUCUCAACUGUGAGGUCGGUAUUUUAUAGAACUGAAAGAUAAUCUCGACCUUUAGAUCGAUAUUUUAUUGAAUUGAAAGAUAACCUCGAUCUUCAGAUCGAUAUUUCAUAAAAUAUAAAGAUAACUUCUACCUAUA
rnacentral:lncRNA from 1 species